AUACGUAGGGGGCUAGCGUUAUCCGGAUUUACUGGGCGUAAAGGGAGCGUAGGCGGGAUAUCAAGUCAGCUGUGAAAUGUAGAUGCUCAACAUCUGCACUGCAGUUGAAACUGGUGUUCUUGAGUGCGUAAGAGGUAGGCGGAAUUCGUCGUGUAGCGGUGAAAUGCAUAGAUAUGACGAAGAACUCCGAUUGCGAAGGCAGCUUACUGGGCCGCAACUGACGCUGAGGCUCGAAAGCGUGGGGAGC
rnacentral:rRNA from 1 species